AAAAAAAGUCAGGUACAGCAUGAAAUGGAAGACAGGAACAUUACGUUAUAUUGCAGCUGUCCUUGUCCAAUGCCAUUAGACAUUCUCAGCAGUAAGAAUUAAUAUAACUACAGCCUAUGAUCAGCUGUCUUCUAGUCACAGAUUUGACAUCUAAGAAAUACAACCUACUAGAGACCAGAGCAUCUGAGAGAUGAGCGAAAAACUAUCUCCCGAAAAGCCAAGGGAAGGUGCCAGGCUCACAGGUUUUGGUGGUUGGUGAAAAGGGAGCAGACAUUCUGCGGGCAGUUUGGUCAUCUACCUGGAGGCUUCAAGUUCUGCAUAUGCCUUGACCGACCUUGGCAAUCUUCCUUCUAGAAAUGUAUUCUAAAGAAAUCAUUGUGACUGCACCAGUGACGUAGCAAAGGACAUUCACUACAGUGUUGUUUAAAAUACUGACAGAUUAGAAAUAAGGUGUCUAACAAUGCUGGCAAUGUUAAAUCAACUAUGGUACAUCCAUUAAGGAAAAUAAUAUGCAGCCUUUUAUAACGGCUUGGUAAAGGUUAUUGUACUGAAGUGUGUUUGAUAUAUUACAUGGAAAAAGUAGAUUCUAGAAUAGUAUGUGCUGCACACAGACCAUUAUUUUGAUUAUAUAUCCUGGAAUAAUAUCUAUUUUGAUUAUAUAUCCUGGAAUGAUACAUACCAAAUGGCUAAGAGUGACACCUCUAGGUUAUAGAAUUAGGUUUAAUUUUAUAUGUUCUCCCUUUCUUCUUUUGAUUCUUUUUCACAUGUAUCUUUUUCUAUAAUAAGCGUACAUUUCUGUGUAAUAAAAAAAAGUUAAUGUCA